rnacentral:lncRNA from 1 species
CUUUGAUUUACGAGUAAACAGUGACCGAGUUUUGACCUUUCUAGGUGGCCCGACCGACAUCCCUAUCCAGGUCUUAAAGCAAGAAAUUAGGGUUUCUUUGCAAAAAUCCCAACUCAAGAAUGAGGCAAUUUGAGGGAUGGGAAGUAUCUUAAGGGUUGUUAUCCCUCUCUUCUUGCCAGUGAUUUCAGAAAAUCAACAACCCUUUCUGCCAGCAGUUACUUGUAAUUAUUUUACAUUGCGACUGUGCUUGUGCUUGUGCUUGCGCUUGCUGAAACAACUCUUUUUUCUCAUCGUCAUCAAUUCAUAUGAGUAAUGCUAUGCAUUAAGAGAAAAUGAAGCUUAUAAGUAAAUUAUAAGCUUAGCCAAACAUGCUCUUUCGUUUCAACUGAACCUUUAGUUUCUGCUUUCCCGUUCCUUUCCUCGUAGGCUGUGAUGAUAAGUUUGUUGAGUUGGGUCGGGUAUGGAGAAGCCCUGACUCGUAUCUUGGUGGGGCAAAUUCAGAUGGCAUGAUUUGCAACUGGAUUUUGCAGCCAUGGCGAGUUCGGAAUCUGUUGCCUGAUAUAUAUUACAGAUCUGAGCCUCAGGUUCUAUUCUAUUUAUUAUUAAAUUCUUAGCUCGUUAUUAUCUGCUCAACCCGGACGGUCACUGAACAAAAAGUGGGUAAACUCGACAAAGAAAUUAAUGCGGACCUCUUAUAAAAUUUUCCGGUACAUAUAUGAAUUAUUAUGGUAAACUGGAGGCUAGGCGAGGUCCCUUCAAUAAGAAGUGUUUCACCGUGUUCUUGUUAUUAACUUCUUUUCUUUUCGUUUGUUACUCGUGGUUUAGUUGUUUCGAUGAUAUUUCUUAAGAUUGGCUCUUCUUUGGAAGUCUAGAAAAGGCUUUAUUGAGGACUACAAGGAUUUCAAGUUAGAGACUGGUGUGGAAAAUCUGCCAAUGUCGUUAUUGAUUUUUCUACAAUAUCUUUACUCGUUCUUCGGCUUCAUUUACUAUGAAGCUGUUGGUAUUUCUCUUGAUAUGAUUCAAAAGGUGGGGUCAAUUGUGCUGUAUCCAAUUGAUAGUCAAGUUUCUGCUUUAAUUUUGUUAAUUACUGAAGGAUUGCGUGCUUUUGUGUUUCUUGGUUAUGGCAUUUGAUUCUUGUUUGUUUCUUCCUUUUUUUGUUGUUGGGCUGUCUUAGUUUUUCUGUCAACGUGGCAGCAUCAUAAUUUUUUGUUGGAAUCGGAAAACCAUAGACAAAAACUUGGUCUUCAAAGGACUGGAGGAAUGACCUUUGACAAAGCAGACACUGCUUUUCCCCCCCAAGUGUUCUAGUUUUUUACAUUUCUGCAGCUUUCUUAUUCCUUCUCUUCUUGCUAUUCUGGUGGUGCUCGUGAUUUGUUAACCGCAUCCCGUAGGCCGUGUCAAGAAUUGAAAAACUGUUAUUGAAGAAAGCAGUGGAUAUGAUUAAUUUUGCCUUCAGUUUCAGUGUUGCUGAGUAAAGGACAAUGCUGUUUGAAUUUGUCUCUGAUCUGGAAUUUCUUAGAGUGAAUCAACUAAAUUUUGUGAAACGAGUUAUUAUUUAUCUUGUCGUGUGUAUGUAUAACCACACAAUCAGCACAAUAGUAGAAUAAAGGAUAAAAUUUAUUGGUUUUGGAAUAGUUUCAGUCUCAGAUUUAUUUUGUAUAAGUUUUGAUCUUCAAUUUGGAGUGGCUUGUAUUCCUUCCUAAAUGUAGACCAUAAUUGGAGGAAAUAUUUUCUAGUAUGUCAUUAUGUUAAAGUGAUGAAAUUGUAAAACAUAGGAGUUGCAACUGAAAUCAGCAUAAGCAGUGAAUGCUGGUUCUCAUGAGAGGCUUCAACAUGAGGAUUUCAAUUAUUCUUGGAAUUCUCUCAAACAAAAGUUCUGUCAAAAAGGUUGAUGAAAUUAGCCAAAAUAUAUAAAAUCUUCGCGAUAAGCUCUAUUUCCUCGAAAAUUUUAUAUGGUUGACUUUUCAUUCAUCACAGCUAUGUGCUUGAGCUACCAUGCGGGUUAACAUGUUAUUUGUAUAUGUGAAUUGCGUGUAGAAUCGACGCAUAUUAUGACGAAGCAAUGCUGGCUUGAAUGUAGAAAUGGUCAAAUAGAGCUCUACCCAAAAAUUUAAAUAUGAUCAUGUUGACUUUCUUUUUGAGUAGCAUCUAGACUUCACAUGAUAUUGCAUGUUGAGACAUCUAUGGUCGAGAUCUAAAUCUAAUGAUCAGAGCCAUCUAAUCAUUAUAUUGUUGCAUUUUUAACUUUGUUUCGUGACUGUAUUCAAAAUUGUGAUCUAGGAUCAGGGGACACUUAUGCUGAGUCUCAGUUUUUCUAUGAGUUUCUACAUUUUUGGAGUAGUUAAGGUGCUUUUGAAUUUGAGAGUAUGUUGGCUGUGGAAAUUUUCCAUCUAUUCCUUGUGUACUAUUGUCCUCUUAACUGAUUGUGGGAAGUUGUUCUUUACUUGGGAAUGUUCCAUUAUAGAAUUUCAUCCAUCUUGAAUGAAGAUUAUGCGAAGUGUACACUUGUAUUUGCUGGGUUGUUUGAUUCCUCGGAUUUCUUCUUUGGCCUUCUAUUAUCAAGAUUUGCUUUCCCAAUGAUUUGAUAUCGAUGUCUUCAUCCUUUGCUCCACAUCUCCUCAUUAUAUCUUUUGUCCUUUAACUAGUUUUACAAUUGUGAUUGUAAUUGUUUUAUGUUGUACCUUUAAAAAAAAAAAAAAAAGGUUGAAUCCUAACCUAGAGGGCUCCAUCGUCCCGCUCCUAGAGUUUUGUGAGUGAGGUAAAUCGUGGGAUGUGUUCCAACAUAUCAGGGAAGUAGGUAAACGAAGUAGAUGUAUGCCAUUUGUAUUUGGUCUGUCUUCUAUAGACUCUUUAUUAGUUUAAUUUUUUGUAUCGUGGAGUUGAUCUUCAUUUUUAGGGGCUUCAACGAGUUCUCUGUAUCUAAAGUUUAGAAUGAAGCGUGA